rnacentral:lncRNA from 1 species
AGGGGUCGGAGUCUUGUCUUUCGGAAGGGAAAGGCGCUCUAGGGCUGCUGCUGUAGUCGGGGCGGAACGGAUGUGCUCAGCCCGUCUCGACACAGUUAACUAAAGCCCCGGAUGCUUCCAGACUGUUAGAGGCUCACACGGCUCCCCAAACGCACAUUCAAGUGCAAAACCAGGCUUUGUACGUUCUGUGACGCAGAGUUGUGUCCUAAGUGCAGGGCCAGGACUGCCUUCUGGAGCGACCUAUUAUUUAGUGAGGUCCACGACGCUCGUGCAGACUCGCCCUCGGCCUAGACUUGAGCCUGAGGUAUUUUGUUUUCCCCUAAGUGUCAAAUCUCCGCUUAUCUUGGGAAAUCUGGGACACGAAACCGGGUUGGGUUGCGGGCUGGUAUCGAAGCUUUAAGGAGCAGACAUGGAUCUCUUGAGUUAAAGGCCAGCCAGGUCUACAGAACGAGUUCCAGGACAGCCAUGGCCACACAGAAAACCUGUCUCAAAAAACAGAGUUCCAGCUGGCCUAAUAGACACAUAGAGACCAUGUCUCAAAAAAGGUGUGCGGACCCCUUCCCCCAUAUUUUAUGUGUAUUUCUUCCAGGCCACGCCUGACUUGGAUCCUUUAUUUCCUUACAAUAAUUUGGGUGUUUUUCUCAGUUCACACCCUCCCCUCCACCCCCACGGCUUUGCUGAGAUCUUCAUUCAACACAAGAAAAUACCAGCAAUGUGUAGAAAUACUGUGCUUUAAUGAACUCCUUAAAUAGAAACGCUGCUAUGAAAAUAUACAGUGGGAGGAGACGGUUUCUCCCUUAUUCACCUCGUUCCCACAGAAGACUAAGAAAAGAUUUCAAAGUAGUGUAGAGAGGUUGCGAAUGAGGUCUCUAGGACAUCAUUGUUGGGACUGAUGAAAAGGGUCUCUCAUGUCACAGUUUUGACGGCCAUCCAAAAGGUACAGAAUUGCCUGGGAAAAGGGGCAAUCACAUUCUGAACUGGUCUUGUUUCUUAGUUUUCAAAUCACAAGAAAUGAAAAUAGCCCCAGAAAUCAAACAAAUCGGGAGACCUUUAGGUUGGUAGCGCCACCAUCUGCUACAGAAACGGGCCUUCUAAGUGAACUCUGCAGACUGGAAUGCCAAAGCUGAGGCGUCAAGGUCAGACAGGAAGAUGAGCAGAGACCCCUGCCCUGCCUCUGAGAACGACGCUAACAAACAGUUUCAGCAGAUCUGAGAGAGGAUGGUAUUCGGAUCUCUUUUCUUGCUCUGGUCCUCGGGAGAUAUUCUUGGUGUCCAUUGUCUUAACAGUUCCUGAAGGUGAGAAAGCUCAUCCUGAAGGGCAGAGACUGUGAGAGCUGAGGAGCCCAUCUGGGGAGGGGCAAAGCGCACAGAGGAAGACUGUUACAGGGCUUGCUUCCUGGUUCCUUUUUUUUCCCCCUUUUCUGUUUUUUGUUUUGUUUGUUUUGUUUUUCCAGUUGGGUUUCUCUGUGUAGCCCUGUCUGUUCUGGAACUAGCUCAAACUCAGAGAUCCACUUGCCUCUGCCUCCUGAGAUCUAGGAUUAAAAGGUAUGCGCCACAACUA